rnacentral:rRNA from 1 species
CCUACGGGAGGCAGCAGUGAGGAAUAUUGGUCAAUGGACGAGAGUCUGAACCAGCCAAGUAGCGUGAAGGAUGACUGCCCUAUGGGUUGUAAACUUCUUUUAUAAAGGAAUAAAACGAGGCACGUGUGCCUUUUUUUAUGUACUUUAUGAAUAAGAAUCGGCUACCUCCGUGCCAGCAGCCGCGGUAAUACGGGGGAUCCGAGCGUUAUCCGGAUUUAUUGGGUUUAAAGGGAGCGUAGAUGGGUUGUUAAGUCAGUUGUGAAAGUUUGCGGCUCAACCGUAAAAUUGCAAUUGAUACUGGCAGUCUUGAGUACAGUUGAGGUAGGCGGAAUUCGUGGUGUAGCGGUGAAAUGCUUAGAUAUCACGAAGAACCCCGAUUGCGAAGGCAGCUUACUAAACUGUGACUGACAUUGAUGCUCGAAAGUGUGGGUAUCAAACAGGAGUAGAUACCCUAGUAGUC